GUCUUGUUAGCCGAUGGGUGACUGCUCCCUUCACAGUCGUGAAUAUUAAGAAAAAGAGCCCUGUCCCAAAUCCUGAGUCAAACACUACCGCAACGGGAUCAGACGG
rnacentral:ribozyme from 1 species